AUGAAGAUGAAGACAAUAACGACAAACUCAAUUUCAAGUAAUUUCUGUCUCCAAGACUAUGAAGGGAGGCAUUUUUCUCCUUUGCCAGACAGGCAGCGGCACCUAGUGGCUAAAUUCAGACUCUGGACUGAAAGGAACUUCAGUGGCCAACUAGUCCAAUUCUGCUCAUGUGAUAGAUGAAGAAACUGAGAGAGGCCCAGAGAAGGGGGAGGAGAUGUAUCAAAUGGCUAGAGACUUUGCUGAAAUUACAAUGCUACCCGCUGACCAAUCAUGCUACCUCUCAGGAGAAACAACCGAAUCCAAACAUUCCCCUUGAACCAAAAGUGCUUUCGUUGCUCACAAGGGCUGUUCUGCAGGAAUCCACAAAACAACAAGAAAAAGCAUUUUAUGUAAUAAGAAAUGAUUCUGGUUUCGCAGUUUAUGCACAAUUCCAGAGAGCGCUGGAGGGGCUAAGAAACUCUUUUAUAGUUAUAAAAGGAAUCAACAAAGAAUCCAUGGAAAGAAUCUCUGUUACCUGACAUCCUUCUAUCUGUUCCCUGUCCUAAACCCUCAAGCCAAUGUCUUCUUUAGGCAUUUGGUAAGUGAUAUGACUGACAUCCAUAAUUGCUUUGGGGAGUAAACUGAGUGAUGUGAUGCUUUUCUCUCUGCUCACUCGUG
rnacentral:lncRNA from 1 species